GGGCCCAAGCCAGCCAGGGAGGAGGAGGCAGCCAGAGUGGCCACCACUGUUCUCUGCAGCAGAAGAGCCCUUGCUGCCAGAUGAGUGAAGCAUCAGGAAGGCUUGCACCACUGCUGAAGUCGUGCCCAUGACAUUCAUCCAACUUCGUUUCACACAACACUCUAAAUCUCAUUGAUUCUGCAGACUGGAGAAAGAGCUGGAUUUUCUUGUUCCAUUC